AGCAUAUCAAUAAGCGGAGGAAAAGAAACCAACAGGGAUUGCCCCAGUAACGGCGAGUGAAGCGGCAACAGCUCAAAUUUGAAAUCUGGCCCCCGGGUCCGAGUUGUAAUUUGUAGAGGAUGCUUUUGGCGAGGUGCCUUCCGAGUUCCCUGGAACGGGACGCCAUAGAGGGUGAGAGCCCCGUCUGGUCGGACACCGAGCCUCUGUAAAGCUCCUUCGACGAGUCGAGUAGUUUGGGAAUGCUGCUCAAAAUGGGAGGUAUAUGUCUUCUAAAGCUAAAUAUUGGCCAGAGACCGAUAGCGCACAAGUAGAGUGAUCGAAAGAUGAAAAGCACUUUGAAAAGAGGGUUAAAAAGUACGUGAAAUUGUUGAAAGGGAAGCGCCUAUGACCAGACUUGGGCCCGGUGAAUCAUCCAGCGUUCUCGCUGGUGCACUUUGCCGGGCACAGGCCAGCAUCAGUUUGGCGCGGGGGAGAAAGGCUCUGGGAAUGUGGCUCCUCCGGGAGUGUUAUAGCCCACUGCGUAAUACCCUGCGCCGGACUGAGGUACGCGCAUUGCAAGGAUGCUGGCGUAAUGGUCAUCAGCGACCCGUCUUGAAACACGGACCAAGGAGUCGUCUUCGUAUGCGAGUGUUCGGGUGUCAAACCCCUACGCGUAAUGAAAGUGAACGCAGGUGAGAGCUUCGGCGCAUCAUCGACCGAUCCUGAUGUUCUCGGAUGGAUUUGAGUAAGAGCAUACGGGGCCGGACCCGAAAGAAGGUGAACUAUGCCUGUAUAGGGUGAAGCCAGAGGAAACUCUGGUGGAGGCUCGCAGCGGUUCUGACGUGCGAAUCGAUCGUCAAAUAUGGGCAUGGGGGCGAAAGACUAAUCGAACCUUCUAGUAGCUGGUUUC
rnacentral:rRNA from 1 species